ACCCGCACAAGCAGCGGAGCGUGUGGUUUAAUUCGUUGCUACACGAAGAACCUUACCUGGGUUUGACAUAUAGGUUGUAGGGAACUGAAAAGGGACCGACCCUUCGGGGAGCCUAUACAGGUGUUGCAUGGCUGUCGUCAGCUCGUGUCGUGAGAUGUUCGGUUAAGUCCGCUAACGAGCGCAACCCUCGUCGUAUGUUAUAUGUGUCAUACGAGACUGCCGGUAAAAGCCGGAGGAAGGUGAGGAUGAUGUCAAGUCAGCAUGACCUUUAUAUCCAGGGCUACACACACGCUACAAUGGUCUGUACAAUGGGUAGCCAAGCCGCGAGGCGGAGCCAAUCCUGAAAGCAGGCCUCAGUUCAGAUUGCAGUCUGCAACUCGACUGCAUGAAGCCGGAGUUGCUAGUAACCGCAGGUCAGCAAUACUGCGGUGAAUACGUUCCCGGGCCUU
rnacentral:rRNA from 1 species